UGAAACACCGAUUUCCGUAUGAUCACCGAUGUUAAGCAACGUCGAGCCUGGUCAGUACUUAGAUGGGUGACCGCUUGGGAAUACCAGCGGCUGUG